CAGUCUCUUGCACAAACCCUAGGCAACAGAAAGCACAGAUAUGCCCACGUCCUGCUCACUCCUAAUACCACGUCUCUGAAAGCUUCGUGAGGGUUCCAGCAUCAUGCUCUGCCUUCUUCAAAAUUAAAGAUUCCUAGCAUCACAUCAAAAUUAAAAAAAAAUGUUCUAUUAAAGAAAGUCAAUUUACACUAAAAAUAAAAUAAAAUAAAAUUGUUUCAUACAAAAACAUAAGUAAACCAUUAAAAAAAAAAAUCAGGCCCGUCUCCAUUUCUUUUCGGCCCACAGUAUGGCCCAGCAGCACAUGCUCUCCCCUAACUCUGCCCUUUGUCCUCCUGACCCGAGCCUAUCAUCGGCAAACCCAAGAAUAUAGGCCCAUCAUCUUCCUUAUUCGACUUCAAGCCUUCAUCUCCGCUGGUUUCUCAUGCUCAUCGUCAACAGCUGUAAGAUCACUUCAAGUCAGGCCCAGAACCACAGCCUCAAUCCCCCAUUCUUCCACUUCAUUCCGUGACCUGCAUCUCAACGUCGACUCUCCCUUCACUCAUUAGAUUACGGAGGUCAUAAAUCAGGGGAAAUUGGUGUCUGAUGAGAUUCAUCGAGCGAUUCUGAAUCACCCACAUGACCUGUGCCCCAUCGAUAGUCGUGACUUUGUUGAAACACGAGGACAAAAACGAGAUGGACGUAGAGCCAUAGCUGCAAGAGAUGAAGCCACAUCAGACAGGACCCAACUGUAGUGCACCUCUCUGCUACAAGGCUUCCAUUAACAAACAGCAACCUCUUCACUGCGUUCCACCUUCUUUCUUCGUCUCUCUUAGACGCACAACAAUGGCGUUGCUCACUUCAGGACCAACUGCUCUUGCACCUCCCGCGGUAGCACUGUCAGCCGCAGUACUUAAUCUUCCUCCACCAUAGUCGUUGUACCUCUCCCAGCUCGCCUUCGAAAAGUCAAAGGGUUGGGUCACUUUUGGUUCUCCCCAGUCAACGCUCUACGUAGUGGUUGCGGUUGUGGACAGAGCUCGAGCCAUGGAAGCCCAAACACUCAGUCCACGCUGGCCAUCUAAGAUCUGUUGCAGGCAGCAAGCAAGUCUCUUUGGUCACGUGCGUUUCCUCUCCAACGUCUCUCUUCACAAAUAGCGACAACAGUAGCAGUUGCACGGAAGUUCACAAUCAUCAUCAUAUGUAGGUUGAACUUGAUUUCGAGAGUUUUGGUUGGCUUUUUAAACCGAUGCUAUUUUCGAACAAUUUCACAGGCGGCCUCUUCACUUCUUUGUCAAAAUGUUCGUCUCUGACCAACAAGACAAUAACUUGCUUCAGAUUAUGUACGCCAUGGAAGCUGCACAGGUACAAGCUCCAGCACACUCCGACCGAGACUGUGUCAGAUGGUCAACUGGGUGAAGGUAGUUGUGUCCCGCAAAUGGCUAAUGCAAUGAAGAAAUUGGAAGCUCUUGAGAGCUUUGUGACCCAGGCUAAUCAUCUCCAACGGCAAAAUUACGUCGUGGUCACUGGUUCUUCAUGCUUGUCAAUCAACCACUCCGCCUCCUCUUCGCCUUUCAUCCUCCAUAGCAAUGCACACAUCCAAAAUGCUUGACUCAUCUCCAUUGCCAAGAAUACAUCUGUAACCAAACCUCUCAACAUACUCAGUUUUCUUCCUCCCUGAAAAUACAAACGCCUGACUUUUCUUCCUUGCCAAGAAUACAUCUGCAACCAAACCUCUCGACAUACUCGGUUUUCUUCCUCCCUGAAAAUACAAACGCCUGACUCUUCUUCCUUGCCAAGAAUACAUCUAUAACUAAACCUCUCAACAUACUCAGUUUUCUUCCUCCUUGGAAACACCUCUUUAACCAAAUCACACCAGAGCAAAGGUAUCUCAUAUCAUGCUUUUCCUUUAUCAUUUCCUGUGCCCUUGCUCUUGCCUACAGAACAAGGAGAAAGGAAGCAAUAAGUCGGAACCUGAAAUUAAACGUCCGAUCGGGAACUGAUUGCCCGAAACCUUUGCCUAGUUGCUUACCUAGCAUUGCUCUUGAGUGCUCAUCUUCAACUGUCGACGGGUCUCGAAUUUCCUCAACGAAUACUUCAGGACAGUUGAUAUGAUGUUGGCUCUUUACACUGAAGCUGCUAAGCAUGGAUGAAUCGCUGAGAAGUGAUGCUCCGAAUAACCAUUGAAAGGCAAAAAGUUGCGCACCACUUCUGCCAGGCGAAAGAAACAAGCAGAAGAGAACGUAGCACGAUGAGCUGGAACAAAUCAUUAUAACAGGACACCCUUCUUGGCAGAACUGUAUAAUCUAGACAAAUGAGUCUAAGUCAAAUCCAAGCCCGCCAUCGUUGCUAUAGUAAAAAAGCUCGAUAAGCUUCAACAACCUUUCGCUGGCACUGUCGCCGAAGAGCAAAGUCUCGAUAACUCUUGAAGAUCAUACCGUUCACCAAACUGCUCCGGGUUCAUAUGAAAAUGCUGUGAACUUUUUUGCUCUUUCAAAGCAAAUUCUUUGCAGCAUCUGACCUUAUUCCCUGACCUUCUUUAAUAUGAAUUGGAAAGAUUGAACAAAUAAACAGACCAUCACCUCCAUCUUGUGCUUACUUGCCAUGUGUCCAAAUCCUGAAACUGCUCGUGGUCAUGUUUAAGUUCAAGAUCAAGCCUCGACGGCCCUUGAAGAAAUCACAAGUCCGAUUCAAGAUCAAGUGUCUACCACUCUUGAGUUAAAUCCUUCGAGAUCAAGCCCCAACGGCUCUUGAAGAAAUCAUAAGCCAGAUUCAAGAUCAAGUGUCCACCACCCUUGAAUCAAAUCUAGUUCAAGAUUAAGUCUGUGGAAAGUCCUUUGGAAGAAACCAGAAAAUCCUCCAACCUAGUUCAAGAUCAAAGCUGUGGAAAGUCAAUAAGCGCAACAAAAUACGUGCCGAUUCAUCCAUUACCAAAGCCAAAGAUCAUCUACCACAUGAAGCUUAUUGUGGUCCAAAUUUCAUCCAAGAUCAAGCCUCAACGGCUCUUGAAGAAAUUUCAAACAAAAUUCAAGAACAAGCCUCAAUGGCACUUAAAGAAACUCCCAGCCCAAUUCAAGAUUAAGCCUCAACGGCCCUUGGAUCGACAUCUACAUUAAGGGACUUCAAAAUGCAUCUUCUACACGUGACAAGCGCAUGUAUACAACGCGCCUUGAAGUGGGGGCAUUUGUAUUGAAAUUUCGGUGAAAUAAAUAUUGACAAUUGUAUUAAAAUUACAACCUCCAUUCAUUUCACCUACAUCAUACACUCACCUCACCUACAAUAUCCACUCAAUUCACCUACAACAAUCCACCCAAUCCACUUACAACAUCCACCAAAACAAAAGGAUGGUGGUAAUUCAUUCUCAAAGCCUAUAAAUAGGCCUCCCCAUCAAAGGAUCAAGGGAGGAUUUUACAUACAUUUUCUCUACUCCCAAAUUGGAAGAGAAUUCACAUCACACCAAAGCCUUGAAGCCUCGAAACUCUAAAGCUCUCAAGCAAAUCCUGAAGAAUCAAGAAAGCCCUCUUCGUUCUUCAUCAAAAUCCUCCUUCAAGAUCAAGCCCCAACGGCCCUUGAAGAAACUUCAACUAAUUCAAGAUCAAAUCCCGACGGCCCUUGAAGAAAGUGUUCAUCAUUCAUCAUCCAUUCAUCCUAAAGAUUAAGCCCCGACGACCCUUUGGAUCAACAACAUCAACAAAUCUACCCAUUACAUAGAUAGAAUCAGAGGAUCAAAUUGUAAAAGAUUGUAACGCACAAAAUCAAUACAAAAUAUUAUUUUGUACACGUGUUCUUGUCUCGUUCAUCAUAGGAAUUCCAGUGUUUACAAUGGUAUAAUGAUGUUUGAGUGAAAAGAAUAAACAUUAGGCUCAUUCAUAUCUCUAUCAGUACAAUUAAUUUGAUUAAAUUGUCCACAACUUUCUUACAAUAAAGCUCUAUAUUUCUGUUUAACCGCACUAAAAAACCUGUUUUUCACUCAAGAAUCUUGUCGAACCAUCUCAGCAGUAAUUUUUCGAAAAAAUCACACACAUUUUAAUCUAACACCAACCAAGGAGUUGUCAAAUCAGGAAAAAUCAAAAAGAGAAAAAACUUACCCAAAAAUAACAGGACCGCCGGAACCGUCGGUAAAUCUGAGACUGACCAAGCAAGGAACCAAACAGCAAAAUAUCCUCUUAGCCAGGAAAACUCUAGCACAGGAACAGAGCCAACCCAAAACCAAACAGUUACAAUUCCAUCCAAAAUUAAUCAAAACACAUAAUAAAAAUCAAAACACAACAAUUAGAAAACAUACCUCAGUUGUAGAAAAUUAACUUCCCAGCGAUGCAAAAACAACCGGUGCUCAAACGGAAAACAAAAUCAGAAAUAGAUCCGACCAAAAUCGGUGCAAAUCAGACAUAAACAAACGUAAAAAAUCUCUUGACUAGUCUUGGAAGCUACGAAAUUGAAGAAUCUAUUCCUCAUAUUGAUUCUACUUGAUAUAUCAUUAGUAGGAUCGUGAAAUCAUGAAAUUAUCCAAAAAUCCUAUAUCGUAGAAAAUUGAAAAUUGCAGGUAAUCAAAAGCUCAAGAAUUUUACAUAGAAGAACUAACUUUCAA
rnacentral:lncRNA from 1 species